rnacentral:rRNA from 1 species
UACAAAGGGGGCUAGCGUUGCUCGGAAUUACUGGGCGUAAAGGGAGCGUAGGCGGACAUUUAAGUCAGGGGUGAAAUCCCGCAGCUCAACUGCGGAACUGCCUUUGAUACUGGGUAUCUUGAGUAUGGAAGAGGUGAGUGGAAUUCCGAGUGUAGAGGUGAAAUUCGUAGAUAUUCGGAAGAACACCAGUGGCGAAGGCGACUCACUGGCUCAUUACUGACGCUGAGGCUCGAAAGCGUGGGGAGCAAACAGG